GGGGAUUUAGCUCAGUGAUAGAGCGCUUGCCUAGCAAGCGCAAGGCCCUGGGUUCGGUCCCCAGCUCCA
rfam:Rattus norvegicus chromosome 18, whole genome shotgun sequence.